rnacentral:lncRNA from 1 species
ACGGACGGACGACGGACGACGGAAGGACGGACGACGGAAGGACGGACGGACGACGGACGGACGACGGACGGACGACGGACGAAAAGAAGGACGGACGGACGGACGACGGACGGACGAGCCCGCCGAAAUCCGCACGGCCCAGGCCGCUCCCUUUAAAAAUAUUGAGGUAAAGGAAAAGGGGUAGCCCGCCGAAAAGGCCGGCGGAGAGGUCUUGAGGUCGGACGACCACGUGAGACAAUCCGCACGGCCCAGGCCGCUCCCCCGGGAAAACGAGAGCUGGAGAAGCCCGCCGAAAAGGCCGGCGGAAAAGUCUCAAGGUCGGACGACCACACGGGACAAUCCGCACGGCCCAGGCCGCUUCCCCGAGCAAACGCAAAUCGGAAAAGCCCGCCGAAAAGGCCAACGGAAGGUCCCCGGUGCCGCAAGGCCACACGGGAACGUCCGAAGGGCCCAGGCCGCUUCUCCGAAACAAACAAUUGAAGGGGAAAAGCGAGAGCGAAAGGCAAACGGGGAGCGAAAGCUAGAGGAAGAGGGAAAGCGACCAACGAUCAAGCAGAAAGCGAAAGAAGGUGGAUCUCGGCGGAGAGAAAGAAGG